UAUAAUAUUAUCAAUGAUGCCUUGUGGGCUACACAUUUUCAACUCACUCUUUUUGUCCCCUCCACUCUCUGUAUUUUAUUUUUUAUUUUUUAAAAAAUCUAAUUGGAAAUUUGCAGUUUUUUUUUGUCUUCUUUUCUAAAAGCAAAAGAAUGAAAUUGAAACGCGGUACAAAGCAAACAGAAACGAAUCAGGGCUUCAAGGCAAGCGCUCCCUCUUCUUAUUUUUCAAUUUCAAAGGCCUUGAG
rnacentral:lncRNA from 1 species